ACACUCCUGCGGGAGGCAGCAGUGGUGAAUUUUGGACAAUGGGCGAAAGCCUGAUCCAGCAAUGCCGCGUGAGUGAAGAAGGCCUUCGGGUUGUAAAGCUCUUUUGUCAGGGAAGAAACGGUGAAAGCUAAUAUCUUUUGCUAAUGACGGUACCUGAAGAAUAAGCACCGGCUAACUACGUGCCAGCAGCCGCGGUAAUACGUAGGGUGCAAGCGUUAAUCGGAAUUACUGGGCGUAAAGCGUGCGCAGGCGGUUUUGUAAGUCUGAUGUGAAAUCCCCGGGCUCAACCUGGGAAUUGCAUUGGAGACUGCAAGGCUAGAAUCUGGCAGAGGGGGGUAGAAUUCCACGUGUAGCAGUGAAAUGCGUAGAUAUGUGGAGGAACACCGAUGGCGAAGGCAGCCCCCUGGGUCAAGAUUGACGCUCAUGCACGAAAGCGUGGGGAGCAAACAGGAUUAGAAACCCGGGUAGUCCC
rnacentral:rRNA from 1 species